rnacentral:rRNA from 1 species
UGGGGAAUAUUGGACAAUGGGCGAAAGCCUGAUCCAGCCAUGCCGCGUGUGUGAAGAAGGUCUUCGGAUUGUAAAGCACUUUAAGUUGGGAGGAAGGGCAGUAAGCGAAUACCUUGCUGUUUUGACGUUACCGACAGAAUAAGCACCGGCUAACUCUGUGCCAGCAGCCGCGGUAAUACAGAGGGUGCAAGCGUUAAUCGGAUUUACUGGGCGUAAAGCGUGCGUAGGCGGCUAAUUGAGUCGGAUGUGAAAUCCCCGAGCUUAACUGGAGAAUUGCAUUCGAUACUGGUUAGCUAGAGUGUGGGAGAGGAUGGUAGAAUUCCAGGUGUAGCGGUGAAAUGCGUAGAGAUCUGGAGGAAUACCGAUGGCGAAGGCAGCCAUCUGGCCUAACACUGCCGCUGAGGUACGAACGCAUGAGGAGCAAACAGG